GACGAACGCUGGCGGCGUGCUUAACACAUGCAAGUCGAACGAUGAAGCCGGAGCUUGCUCCGGUGGAUUAGUGGCGAACGGGUGAGUAACACGUGAGCAAUCUGCCCUUGACUCUGGGAUAACUGCGGGAAACUGUAGCUAAUACCGGAUACGACACCUUGGGGCAUCCCAGGGGGUGGAAAGAAUUUCGGUCAAGGAUGAGCUCGCGGCCUAUCAGCUAGGUGGUGAGGUAAUGGCUCACCAAGGCGACGACGGGUAGCCGGCCUGAGAGGGUGACCGGCCACACUGGAACUGAGACACGGUCCAGACUCCUACGGGAGGCAGCAGUGGGGAAUAUUGCACAAUGGGCGAAAGCCUGAUGCAGCAACGCCGCGUGAGGGAUGAAGGCCUUCGGGUUGUAAACCUCUUUUAGCAGGGAAGAAGCGAAAGUGACGGUACCUGCAGAAAAAGCACCGGCUAACUACGUGCCAGCAGCCGCCGCCG
rnacentral:rRNA from 1 species